rnacentral:rRNA from 1 species
CCUACGGGAGGCAGCAGUGGGGAAUCUUGCGCAAUGGGCGAAAGCCUGACGCAGCCAUGCCGCGUGAAUGAUGAAGGUCUUAGGAUUGUAAAAUUCUUUCACCGGGGACGAUAAUGACGGUACCCGGAGAAGAAGCCCCGGCUAACUUCGUGCCAGCAGCCGCGGUAAUACGAAGGGGGGCUAGCGUUGCUCGGAAUUACUGGGCGUAAAGGGAGCGUAGGCGGAUAGUUUAGUCAGAGGUGAAAGCCCAGGGCUCAACCUUGGAAUUGCCUUUGAUACUGGCUAUCUUGAGUAUGGGAGAGGUUAGCGGAACUCCGAGUGUAGAGGUGAAAUUCGUAGAUAUUCGGAAGAACACCAGUGGCGAAGGCGGCUAACUGGCCCAUUACUGACGCUGAGGCUCGAAAGCGUGGGGAGCAAACAGGAUUAGAUACCCUGGUAGUCCACGCCGUAAACGAUGAGUGCUAGUUGUCGGCAUGCAUGCAUGUCGGUGACGCAGCUAAACGCAUUAAAGCACUCCGCCUGGGGGAGUACGGGUCGCAAGAUUAAAAACUCAAAAGGAAAUUGACGG